rnacentral:rRNA from 1 species
CCUACGGGUGGCAGCAGUGGGGAAUAUUGCACAAUGGGGGAAACCCUGAUGCAGCGAUGCCGCGUGAGCGAAGAAGUAUUUCGGUAUGUAAAGCUCUAUCAGCAGGGAAGAAAAUGACGGUACUUGACUAAGAAGCUCCGGCUAAAUACGGGCCAGCAGCCGCGGUAAUACGGCGGGAGCAACCGUUAUCCGGAUUUACUGGGUGUAAAGGGAGCGUAGUGGGUAAGGCAAGGCUGAUGAGAAAGGCCAGGGCUCAACCCUGGGACUGCAAUGGGAAAUGUUUAACUGGAGUGUCGGAGAGGCAAGUGGAAUUCCUAGUGUAGCGGUGAAAUGCGUAGAUAUUAGGAAGAACACCAGUGGCGAAGGCGGCUUGCUGAACGAUGACUGACGCUGAGGCUCGAAAGGGUGGGGAGCAAACAGGAUUAGAUACCCCGGUAGUC